rnacentral:RNase_P_RNA from 1 species
UAAGUAAACCGGGUGACCGCCCGCUUCAUCCGCCUGCCAGUUCCGGCGGGCAGUGGUGGGAGGAAAGUCCGAGCUCCACCGGACGGGAUGCUGGGUAAUACCCAGGAGGGGUGACCCUACGGAAAGUGCCACAGAAACAUACCGCCAGCGGUUCUUCCAGAGGAAGGAUGCGGGUAAGGGUGAAAUGGUGAGGUAAGAGCUCACCAGCGGCCGGGUGACCGGUCGGCUGUGCAAACCCCAUCUGGAGCAAGACCGAAUAGGGGGAGAAAGGGUGUCCGGCCUGUCCCCGGGUUGGUCGCUUGACCCCGCCGGUAACGGCGGGGCUAGAUAGAUGGUCACCGUCCUUCUUCGGAAGGAUACAGAACUCGGCUUACAGGUUUACUUAACCC